AAAAAAGAAAGAAAAAAAGAAAAACACAAAAUCAUUGAAGUUGAAGAUGCAGAUUAUCACCUUGUUUUUUUUUCUUCUUAAGUAGAUGUAAUAAUGUUACAUUUUUCAAAAAACUCUUCCAGCUUCCCAUAUCUAUUUAUUUCAUUAUGUCCACUUAUAUAUGGCAGCGUUUAUACUUUGAUAUAUUUUCUGAGCAAAUGUAUGUUGGGCUGCUUUUAAAACACUUGCUUCCAAAACAAUUCUGACUCUACCCUGACUCUCACAACAAAGUGAAGAUAAUUUAAUACAAAAUUAUGAACAACCAAAAUAAACACAGAUAGAGUAACAAACUUGAGCAGAACAGAAGUGACAAUCUGGGCCUUGCCCAUGGCAGAAUAAUUCCUGUAAUACCCAGCCUUCACAUCAAUCAACUGCCUCUUUUUCCCCAAAUCUUUCUUGUCUUUUGGCUUUCUUUUGAGCCCAAA
rnacentral:misc_RNA from 1 species